UCACCGUGCUUGUUUUUUGAAAUUUUCUAAAGUCGUCUGCUGUUGAUUUUGACAGUUUAACAGAGUUAGUUCGAAUUAGUAGCUGUCAGAAUUCUUAGAUUAUGUGGCUUCUCUGAAUAUCGUCAACAGACCAAAUCAAAAUUUGCAUUUAGGUGUGAUUCCAGAAUAUGUGACAGCAAUUUUUUAACUUUGUCCUCAAGGUGAUGAUCACCAUCAACUUUAAUACCAGAAACAACUCAAGCGACUCGCCUCAUUCCUCGGCCAGUUGGCGAACUUUACCCAGGAAAAGAAUGGUCCUUUGGCGCUGUGAAACACGAAAAUUUAUUCGGAAAAAGUCCAUCAGUAUAACGAAGCCGUUCGGGCUGAACUACGGAGUUGACCACCCAGAAAUGCGAAUCAUACAUGGGAUUCAAGUAAUUCGUUGGUUGAGGAAUACAUCCGUGGGUGUGUUCACUUUCAGCAAUGCAGCAUGCAAUUUGGGAAGUAUCUUCUCUCAGAUCCGGAUUAUUCUUAUACAUUAACUGCAACAAUAACGCCCACCCAGCUUAUUACUCGGACCAACCGCUUGCCACACCAAACUCCUUUUUAAUGACCUGGUGAUGGUAACAAAUUUGAUUUCCCAUUGACAUUACACUGGCGUACAAGUUAAUAUUUUUUUUUGUAAAAGGGGAAUUUCGGUUUGUAACCGACAAAGAGUUUUCCUUGUCACAAUGGAAUAGUAAAAAGGCAAUAUUCGUUCCGUUAUUAUUUUAAAAGUUUUAUUCUCCUUCAUCCGGGCGUUUGCGACCAUCGCUACCAUUCCAUCACCAUCGACCGAUGCAACUAGAGCUAAUACGGAGGCGCAUUUUUCGUUGGUGGAAAGUUAUUUAGCCUCAGGACUAAAACUGGAAUAGCGCAACUAAUGUUGCAAUAGGCUACAACGAAAUGUCAUUUCAUCUUACACAUGCUAGCUAGCUGAUACCUGAAAACACUUCGAUGCCCUUGAAAUUCGAACGAGAACCUAACGAACUGCUAUAAUUAAAGAUCCGCACACGUGCACAGAAAUCAUCUUCAGAAGACAGCUGACUGUUGGCAGCCUUUAUGUUCGGAUUCCCCAACGGGCGCAUUUACUGUAGAAUGGCCCGGUGAAGAGCUUCGCUAUGCACGGGGAAUUUACUAGAUAAACGGGAACACCCUUCAGUUCAUUUCAGAAAUGACUUUAGUCGAAUUCAAGAACUUGAUAAAGGAACUUAUGACAUGGCAUUUAUUAAAAACCAUGCAAAGAAUAAUGUUGCGUCCCUCACAUAUUUUCCAGGCUGAGAAAGAGAAGUGAAAGUUUCAGCAGGAGCUGUUUCAUGCUCAUCAUUAAGUUGAGUCAGCGAACAAAGAUAAGGCAAGAUGAAACGUACACCAACGAAGUAGAAAAGUCAGAGUUGUUCGUGCAUGAGUACAAACUCUGAAUGGAAGAGCUCAAGAGCACUAAUAACGUCAUCAGCAGCAAAGUACGAACAUGCCUGCACUUUUCACACCGAAGAGAUCAGGCGCAAAUUUCACAUCCAGGUGACUGAAUUGGAAAAAAGACCAGUACUUUAGUCUCCAAAUGCUCAGGUUUGGAGAUGAGCACGUCACGUCUACAGAGUGAGGUAGAUGUUCUUAUUAUCGAUUUUGAGAAGGCUGAUAGCACCACCUGAGAGAUGCAAAAGCGCAGCAAGCAACUGGAGCUCAUCAACAUUGAAUUCAAAUCCAAGUUGGAUUAGAUUGAGCAGACUGGCCUAUACGACGCUUCCCAGAGAGAUAAUCGUAACAAGGCGACAGAUAUUUUCCGUUUGACUCACGAACUUGACAAAACGUGCGAACGAAAAGAUCAGCUGACCAGCGAAAACAAGAAAUUGGGCGAUGAGAACGCUUAGCUGAAGAGCCAGUACUCUGAUCAACAGCAGAUUCCGUGAGUUAGACGACGUUAGACGACAAGGUUUGGGUGAAACGAGCUUUCUUAGUAACAAGGCCUCGCCCUCAAUGAAAUUUUGAACUUAACGAAUUUAACUCAUAGUAAACUUGUUUGCUGAUUUCGUUUUACUAUCAUAUGUCACUCUCGAGAUGUUAUUGUAAAUGACUGGAAAAUAAAAUAUCUGUA